rnacentral:lncRNA from 1 species
GUUCCCACUUUACAUGAGAAUCAUCAUGCUCAGAAUGAGUAUGUGAAGUCUCUUAAGGAUAAGCUAACACAAGAGAAAAAGCUGUCCAACAUGUACCAAGAACAGUGCAUUUCCCUAGAAGAGGAACUUGCUCGAAUUCGGGAGGAAGAAGGAGUGAGGAGAGAGAUCUUCAAGGAUCGCUCCAACAAGAUGGGCAAGCGCUUACAGAUAAUGACAAGACGCUAUCAGGCCUUGGAGCAUCGACGAAUCCUGGAAGUAGAGGGCUUCAAGACAGACAUUAAGGCUCUCCGACAGAAGCUGAGAGACCUGGAGCAAACGCUCUAUAAGGCAACCAUGAACACCCAUGGAAAUCAGGAUCUGGCCAUUCUGUGUGAAGUCCGUGAUAGCAACAGGAGAGCUCAUAAGAUACAAGGAGAGCUGAAGAGCCUCAAGUCUAAAAUGUUCAGUCUAGAGAAUGAGCUUAGGCUGUGUUGAUGUCUCCUUUCAGGGUUGGUUUCCAGAAACCUGAGGCAAGGUCACCUGUUCCUGGAGAGUGGACAUGGAGUUGUCCAGAGUAGUGACAUCAGUUUUAAUGAAGAUAGUGUUAAAGGCAUGAUAGCUCACACCUACAAUCCCAGCACUUGGGAAACUGAGCCAGGUGGAUCUCUCUGAUUCUAGACCAUCCAAGGCUACUUAAUAAGACCCCAUCUCCAAAAACAACAAAAAUAAAACAUCAAAACCAGAGAGGAAAGAAGAAAACCAGAAAACAGUGGCAAAUCUGGCCCUGGGAAAGCUGCACUAGCAGACUGCCGUCUCCGGUGGCCCUGCUCGCCUCACUGGGGGUAGGAACUGUGGCCGAGACUUUCCUGCUCUUCCAUUGUAUAUGGAUGGACUUUCCUGUCUAUAAAGUCAGUGAUGGGAUGUAACUUACCUGGGGAAGUGCUUGUCCACCGUACGGAAAGCCCGGGUUCUGUUGCUAGCACCACCUAAAGCCAGGGUUGGUGGCUCCCUGCAGUCACCACUGGAAAGAGAAGUAUGUAGGAGAAUCUGAAGUUCACAUUCACCCUUGGCUGUGUGGUGAGUUCCAGGCUAGCCUGGGCUACAUAAGACCGUGUCUAAAAAUGAAAACAAGAAACAAACAAAAACAAGAAAACAAACUAAGUGCCAGUGGGAGAACAUGUUUCCAGGAGGGCCAAAGUCAUUCACUAAAGUGCAUUCCUACUCAGGGAAGGAAGGAAGCAGCAAAUUACAUGGGCAGAUUCACGGACUUAGCUGUGCCCAAGUGACUGACCACCAGGGGGCAGCAGAGCCCUUGCUCCUCAGUAAACUUGGUCAUCAAGAAAAGGGUGCUACUUUAUGUACAGUAGGCAAAACCAAUAUGGUAAUUUAUGUGAAGAAGUUUAACAUUUUAUCAAUAUUUUUUAGAUUAUUCAAAUUAAUAUUUUCAAUAAAAUGUAGUGUUUAAAACA